rnacentral:rRNA from 2 species
AAAUUGAAGAGUUUGAUCAUGGCUCAGAUUGAACGCUGGCGGCAGGCCUAACACAUGCAAGUCGAACGGUAACAGGAAGCAGCUUGCUGCUUCGCUGACGAGUGGCGGACGGGUGAGUAAUGUCUGGGAAACUGCCUGAUGGAGGGGGAUAACUACUGGAAACGGUGGCUAAUACCGCAUAACGUCGCAAGACCAAAGAGGGGGACCUUCGGGCCUCUUGCCAUCAGAUGUGCCCAGAUGGGAUUAGCUAGUUGGUGAGGUAACGGCUCACCAAGGCGACGAUCCCUAGCUGGUCUGAGAGGAUGACCAGCCACACUGGAACUGAGACACGGUCCAGACUCCUACGGGAGGCAGCAGUGGGGAAUAUUGCACAAUGGGCGCAAGCCUGAUG